rnacentral:lncRNA from 1 species
UGGAUUGCAGGCUUUAUUUGUCCUGGAAUUUUUCAUUUGUUGAAUUCAAGUGUUUCAUUCCUUGAUUACAAUGAGUAUUGUUGGUUUUAUUAUAGUGCAAGAUGUAAAUUCAUGACUAAACAAAUGGCAUUUUUUUUAAUGCCUACUUGAGAAAAACCAUUCAUAUUUCAUUAUGAAAAGUAUCUGCAGUAUUGGCUGUGUUUCCCUUAUCGGGGUCGACAUACAUGGGUUUGGGCUGCCAGUUUAUUCAUAGGAUGAUAUGUUCACAUGGUUUUAGUGAUCAAUGCUACUCUCUGGUGCUGUUUACUUUUGUAAUUUUAUUUUGUCUUAUGGAUGCCAAUUCUGUGUUUUCAGAAAGGUAGUAAUGUGAUUGUAUUUCUAGUAGGUUAUUUUGUUGUUCUAUAUUGUACAGAGAAAUUAUAACGUUUGGCUUCAUAAUACGCCAUGCACUAUAAAUUACUCAUUUCACCAUGAUAGGGCCUAUGGCUCUUUUUUUUGUUUUUUGAAACAUAAAGUUAUCAUCAUUUCACACAAGCUACUACAAUCUUGAGACAUUAGAGAACCUUGUGAAACAAUUUAAGUGAUCCUUUCAACUUCAAUCUCGAUAUUGCCAAGCAAAGCUUGUGAUAACAUAACCAGCAUCACUAACACACACAAACUCAGGGAUCACUCUCCCCUGUCAAUUCUUUUUUAAAAUAAGCAAGCGAAGCUGCCUCACACACUUCUCCUUUGGAUUGGUACAAUCUUGAGACAUUAGAGAACCUUGUGAAAAAAUUUAAGUGAUCCUUUCAACUUCAAUCUCGAUACUGCCAAGCAAACCUUGUGAUAAAAUAACCAGCAUCACUAACACACACAAACUCAGGAUCACUCUCCUCUGUCAAUUCUUUUUUAAAAUAAUCAAGCAAAGCUGCCCCCACACACUUCUCCUUUGGAUUGGUACAAUCUUGAGACAUUAGAGAACCUUGUGAAAAAAUUUAAGUGAUCCUUUCAACUUCAAUCUCGAUAUUGCCAAGCAAACCUUGUGAUAAAAUAACCAGCAUCACUAACACACACAAACUCAGGGAUCACUCUCCUCUGUCAAUUCUUUUUUAAGAUAAGCAAGCGAAGCUGCCCCAUACACUUCUCCUUCUAUGCUGAAAUUAUUUUCUGUUAAGACUAGAAAAAGCAUACGGCUUUUGGUGAAACUUAAAUAGUGUGAUUUGACCAAAGUGAUUAUGUUGAACUGUGUUAUUCACAUUCAUUGAUUUUGUGGCAUUAUCAUUUGAAAGAUUCACGAUUGGGCAAAAAAUGAGUUGGUCCUAUUCCCCUUUAUAGUUAUAUAAAUAGAUUGCCUACAAAAGAAUGAUUCAAAUCAAAUUUAAAAUUCUGAACUUCGGGGAAUAAUUUCUGUUGCACAAGGAGUGACACAGAUGCGUUUCUUUUUCUCCAUAUUCUGUUUAAUGGGAGCUACCUAUUUUCUCUUGUGCAUUGUCUGUAGGCAUUGGUUUUGCUUAUGGACAAACUGGUAGUGGAAAGACUCACUCUAUGCGCGGAACAACUGCUGAACCUGGUGUUAUUCCUCUUGCUGUUUGUGAUUUAUUUGUUUUGUAGAGGAGGUGUUACGUUAUGCCGACUUAUUAUAAGAUGAUGGCACAUAUGCUUUUCGGGGUUGUUCUUGAAUGAUACACUGACCCAGACUUUUUCAAUUGCUUCUGAAGUAUUAUGUUUUCUUAUCCUCCUAUGAGUAUGUCAUUCAUAUUUCUAAAAAGAAAAUUGAAGGGAAAUGUUAAUAUAAACCAAUGGACUAGGAGAAAAACCAUACAACAUUGGGUCUUCACUGUUCAAUGAAUUUGGGACAAUGAUGGAGCAAGUGUGGGUUUUACUUGGGCAUGGAAUGACCCCAAAGGUGAAUCCCACUCUUUCUCAAACACUUUUCAUUUUAAUGAAUGGAUUGAUGAUCAAUGGAUUAUGAGUUUCCUGUAGUCUAGGGUUUUAUAGUUUCCCUUUCAUUGCUAAUUCAAGGUCUGUUUCGCGAUCUGAGUCUGUGGGAUGUGUAACAUGAAUAAUGUGGUAAAAACCUUAUAGGUGAGAAGUCGCUUCUUGAUUGUUUCUCCAAUUAGUUUCGAUAUCAACAUUCUUGCAUUCUAGCUUUGUAGGUAUCAACCUUCUCGACAAUAUUUUACUUCAAUUUAAAAUUUACAUAUAGAAGGAUCAAGAUUUGUCCACAUUGCAUGUGGUUGUUUGUUUUUGUUUUAUUUUUCUUUUUAAAGAAAAUUUUUGCUUUGACUUUCUAUAGGAUGAAUUGGUUUACCAAUGAAAUUUCUUUUGAGAAACCCACUGGUUUACCAGUGAAAUCAAAUUCUAAAUAUAAUUUCCCAUAUUCACAAUUUAAACUCUUACCGGCAUUAAAUGGAGAGAAACUAAAGUGUGCAUCUUCUCUUCAAAAUGUCACGGUCAAUAUAUUAAAGAAAGGAACAAGAAGAAUACUAACCAAAAACCCAGAAUGCUUAUAUUGAAUCACAAAUAUACUUCAUGAUCUGAUGCAAUUAUCUUAUUGUAGGUUUGUAAAAUAGUAUAAAUGUGAUUUUUUUCUAUCUUCUAUUAAUGAAAAAUGGCUAGAGAGCCUUCCCCCUCACUGAUUUACCCAACAAAAACAAAACCAUAGUAUUUCUUCUCCUUUCUCUUCGAGAUUAACAAGGGGUGUCAUUUCAAAAGCUAAACAGAGACAUUAGGCCCAAAAAUAUAUGGACAUUGUCAAACAUCUCAUAGACCAAAAUCAAUCACUCUCUACAUCUCAAUAAUCAAUCCCACUGUUCAUCUCAAUAAUCAAUCCAAAAAAAAGUUCAAUUUGACCCUGGUUAAAAUGAGUCCCCUCUAAAAACGAAUCUAAACAAUUCAUUUUGUGAAUUUCAAGAUCUUAGCAUUUAUAAACUCAAUUUUUUUUUUUCUUUUUUAACAUUGUUCAUCUAAUGAUAAUAAAGCCAUCAAAAAAAUUUGAAAAUGAAAAAAUCCUUCUAAGCCUAGAUCUAAGCAUCUCACCAAAAUGAACGAUCUAUGUUAAAACAACCUCUUCUGAUGAAAUUUUUGAGGUAGGCUCUAAUUUGAUCAUUUAGAGCCUCAACUCU